AUGCAUGUGGCUCAGUGGUAGAGCACCUGCCUGCCAUAUCUAUAGAGGCCCUAGGUUUGACUCCCAGCGUACACA
rnacentral:tRNA from 1 species